UAGGGGNCUAUCAUGCAAGUCGAGCGCGGGAAGCAAGCGGAUCCCCUUCGGGGGUGACGCUUGUGGAACGAGCGGCGGACGGGUGAUUAACACGUGGGCAACCUGCCUGUAAAACUGGGAUAACCCCGGGAAACCGGGGCUAAUACCGGAUAACACCGGACUCCACAUGGAGUCGGGUUGAAAGAUGGCUUCUUGCUAUCACUUACAGAUGGGCCCGCGGCGCAUUAGCUAGUUGGUGAGGUAACGGCUCACCAAGGCGACAAUGCGUAGCCAACCUGAGAGGGUGAUCGGCCACACUGGGACUGAAACACGGCCCAAACUCCUACGGGAGGCAGCAGUAGGGAAUCUUCCGCAAUGGACGAAAGUCUGACGGAGCAACGCCGCGUGAACGAUGAAGGUCUUCGGAUCGUAAAGUUCUGUUGUCAGGGAAAAACAAGUGCCGUGCGAAUAGAGCGGCACCUUGACGGUACCUGACGAGGAAGCCCCGGCUAACUACGUGCCAGCAGCCGCGGUAAUACGUAGGGGGCAAGCGUUGUCCGGAAUUAUUGGGCGUAAAGCGCGCGCAGGCGGUUUCUUAAGUCUGAUGUGAAAGCCCACGGCUCAACCGUGGAGGGUCAUUGGAAACUGGGGAACUUGAGUACAGAAAAGGAAAGUGGAAUUCCACGUGUAGCGGUGAAAUGCGUAAAUAUGUGGAGGAACACCAGUGGCGAAGGCGACUCUCUGGUCUGUAACUGACGCUGAGGCGCGAAAGCGUGGGGAGCAAACAGGAUUAGAUACCCUGGUAGUCCACGCCGUAAACGAUGAGUGCUAGGUGUUAGGGGGCUUCCACCCCUUAUUGCUGAAGUUAAC
rnacentral:rRNA from 1 species